CCUACGGGUGGCAGCAGUGGGGGAUAUUGCACAAUGGGGGAAACCCUGAUGCAGCGACGCCGCGUGUGGGAAGACGGUCCUCUGGAUUGUAAACCACUGUCCCCAGGGACGAAGAUGACGGUACCUGGGGAGGAAGCUCCGGCUAACUACGUGCCAGCAGCAGCGGUAAUACGUAGGGAGCGAGCGUUGUCCGGAAUUACGGGGUGUAAGGGGAGCGUAGGCGGGACUGCAAGUUGGGUGGCAAAUCUACCGGCUCAACCGGUAGCCGCACUCAAAACUGCAGUUCUUGAGUGAAGUAGAGGCAGGCGGAAUUCCUAGUGUAGCGGUGAAAUGCGUAGAUAUUAGGAGGAACACCAGUGGCGAAGGCGGCCUGCUGGGCUUUUACUGACGCUGAGGCUCGAAAGUGUGGGGAGCAAACAGGAUUAGAUACCCCAGUAGUC
rnacentral:rRNA from 1 species